CAUUACACUCCUGCCUGAAUUUAGUGCAUCUCCCCAGUAACAGAAUGCUUGUGCUACAGGGGAUCGAUAGUGCUUGGGCUGCCUAUUGCUGCGGGCAAGUCACUAUGCCAUUAGGUCCGGAGAGAAAUUUAAGUUAUUGAUUGUGUGUUCUGGUCUGAUAGCAAUACUUUUGUUUAUAUUUCUGCUAUGAUUUUGCCUGGAAUGACAUUUGUGGUGACCCCACAGCUUUCCCUGAUGGUGGAUCAACUCGACUGAGGAAGGCAGAAAGCUCGUUGCAUUUUUGCCGGGUAGUUCUAGCAAGCAGUCAGGUAUGCGCUACCAAUAUCUCUUAUUGUGAUUAAUGAUGCUCACUGUAUUUCUGGAUGUGAACAAUUGAAGUUCAUGAAUCCUGACAAGUAUGCCGAAGCGGAAUCUGAGUUAGAGAGGCAAGUUCUUGCAACUUUUCAUCAAGGAAUUGUUACUGUAGUCUGGUGGAUGAAAUUUACAGUUCUUGCUAGGGCUGAGGCUGGUAUUACUGGGACUCAUGAGUCUGCAGUAGAAAGUGUGAAGGCCUCCACAUACUCUCAUAUUAUUUGUUAAUAUAAGAUGCAUGUUAUUGUGCACUUAAAGUAUUUUCCACUGUUUCUGCCCUUAUACUCCAAACUCAUAAAUUCUAUGCAUUUCCUGAUAGCUCUAAAAUAUGAUAAAUCUAUAGAACUUCAGCAUAAGCUUAGAUCUAAGUUGGUAACUAAGUUGGUAUCUUGCAUUGGUGCUUUAGGGCAUCAAAAUCACAUUAUUGUAGUUUGUAACACAAUGCAUAAAAAUCACAUUAUUGUUUGCAUUGGAUCUUUAAUUGAGCACCACAAGCUACAUUUAAAUAGAAAAAUGACUUGUCAUAUUAUGAGUACAUGGAUUUUGUUUUACCCGUAGCAACGCAUGGGCAUUUAGCUAGUAAUUAACAAAUCAAAG